GUGGAAGCCGUCAGAGAGUAACAAAGGUCACCAUCUCUGAACCGGAGCCUGGACUCUCUGAGGAACCUGAGGACACGUCUUUGGACCGGGAGGAGACCAGGAAGAGAAGAUUUGCUCUAUGGUUUCACAUUACUGUCAUUGUGAGCAUCGGACUGCUGAGUAUUCUCCUCAUCUACCUGCGCUUCAAUGAAUUGACACUUCAGGGCUGGAUGCUUCACAACAAGAGUCUCUACCGUGUUUCUACCACUAAGAAGGGCUGGAGGGCCAGUAGAGAAGACUGUCAGAAGAGAAAGGCAGACCUGGUGGACAUCAACAGCAGAGAAGAACUGU
ensembl:lncRNA